rnacentral:rRNA from 1 species
UACGAAGGGGGCUAGCGUUGUUCGGAAUUACUGGGCGUAAAGCGUAUGCAGGCGGAUCGUUAAGUCGGGGGUGAAAUCCCGAGGCUCAACCUCGGAACUGCCUUCGAUACUGGCGAUCUUCGAGUCCGGGAGAGGUGAGUGGAACUCCGAGUGUAGAGGUGAAAUUCGUAGAUAUCGGGAGGAACACCAGUGGCGAAGGCGACUACCUGGCCUGUUCUUGACGCUGAGGCGCGAAAGCUAGGGGAGCAAACGGG